rnacentral:rRNA from 1 species
CCUACGGGUGGCAGCAGUGAGGAAUAUUGGUCAAUGGGCGAGAGCCUGAACCAGCCAAGUCGCGUGAGGGAGUACUGCCCUAUGGGUUGUAAACCUCUUUUGUCGGGGAGCAAAAGCCGGACGUGUCCGGCUGUGAGAGUACCCGAAGAAAAAGCAUCGGCUAACUCCGUGCCAGCAGCCGCGGUAAUACGGAGGAUGCGAGCGUUAUCCGGAUUUAUUGGGUUUAAAGGGUGCGCAGGCGGAUUUUUAAGUCAGUGGUAAAAUCGUGGGGCUCAACCCCAUCCAGCCGUUGAAACUGGGGAUCUAGAGUGUGCGAGAGGUAUGCGGAAUGCGUGGUGUAGCGGUGAAAUGCAUAGAUAUCACGCAGAACCCCGAUUGCGAAGGCAGCAUACCGGUGCACAACUGACGCUCAGGCACGAAAGCGUGGGUAUCGAACAGGAUUAGAUACCCUAGUAGUC